GCUGAAUAUGGGUGAGAGACUGUGAAACUACGAAUUCAGACUGUGUAAGUAUGAACUAAUUCAGACUGUGAAACUACGAAUGACUCAUUAAAUCAGUUAUAGUUUGUUUGAUGGUAUCUACUACUUGGAUAAUCGUAGUAAUCCUAGAGCUCAUACGUGCAACAAAACUUGACUUCUGGAAGGGAUACAUUUAUUAGAUAAAAGGUCAACAAGGGCUAUGCCCGAUACUCUGAUGAUUCAUGAUAACUUGAUGAAUCGCACGGCCUUUGUGCCGACGACGCAUCAUUUAAAUUUUUGCCCUAUCAACUUUCGAUGGUAGGAUAGUGGCCUACUAUAGUGGUGACGGGUGACGGAGAAUUAGGGUUUCGAUUCCAAAGAGGGAGCCUGAGAAAUGGCUACCACAUCCAAGGAAGGUAGCAGGCGUACAAAUUAGCUAAUCCUGACACGAGGAGAUAGUGACAAUAAAUAACAAUACCGGGCUCCAUGAGUCUAGUAAUUGGAAUGAGUACAAUCUAAAUCCCUUAACGAAGAUCCAUUGGAGGGUAAGUCUGGUGCCAGCAACCGCGGUAAUUCCAGCUCCAAUAGCGUAUAUUUAAGUUGUUGUAGUUAAAAAGCUCGUAGUUGGAACUAGGGUUGGGUUGUCCGGUCAGCCUCAUGGUGAGCGCCGGUCUACUCGUCCUUACUACUAACGAUGCACUCCUAGACUUAAUUGCUCGGGUUCUUUCGACGCAGUUACUUUGAAGAAAUUAGAGUGCUCAAAGCAGGCCUAUGCUUGUAUACAUUAGUAUGGGAUAACAUCAUUGGAUUUUGGUCUUAUUAUGUUGGCCUUCGGGAUCGGAGUAAUGAUUAAUAGGGACAGUCGGGGGCAUUCGUAUUUCAUAGUCAGAGGUGAAAUUCUUGGAUUUAUGAAAAAUGAACAACUGCGAAAGCAUUUGCCGAUGAUGUUUUCAUUAAUCAAUAACGAAAGUUGAGGGCUCGAAGACGAUCAGAUAUCGUCCUCAUCUCAACCAUAAACGAUGUCAACUAGGGAUCGGUGGAUGUUACUUUUAGGACUCCGCCUGCACCUUAUGAGAAAUCAAAGUCUUUAGGUUUCAAGAGGAGUAUGGUCGCAAGGCUAAAACUUAAAGGAAUUGAUGAAAGGGCACCACCAGGAGUGGAGCCUAUGGCUUAAUUUGACUCAACACGGGGAAACUUACUAGGUCCAGACAUAGUAAGGAUUGACAAACUGGGAGCUCUUUCUUGAUACUAUGGGUGGUGGUGCAUGGUCGUUCUUAGUUGGUGGAGUGAUUUGUCUGGUUAAUUUCAUUAACAAAUGAGACCUCAGCUUGCUAACUAGCUACGCGGAGGUGAUCUUUCGUGGCUAGCUUCUUAGAGGGACUAGGGCCACUUAGGCUAAGGAAGUUUGAGGCAAUAAUAGGUCUGUGAUGCCCUUAGAUGUUCUGGGCAACAUGCAUGCUACACUGAUGUAUUCAACGAGUCUAUAGCCUUGGCCGAUAGGCUCGGGUAAUCUUUGAAAUUUCAUCGUGAUGGGGAUAGAUCAUUGCAAUUAUUGGUCUUCAACGAGGAAUUCCUAGUAAGUGCGAGUCAUCAGCUCAUGUUGACUACGUCCCUGCCCUUUGUACACACCACCCAUCGCUCUUACUGAUUGAAUGGUCCGGUGAAAUGUUCAGAUUGUGGCUACGUGGACGAUCUGCCACCCACGAUGUCACGAGAAGUCCACUGAACCUUAUCAUUUAGAGGAAGGAGAAGUCGUAACAAGGUUUUCAUAGGUGAACCUACAGAAG
rnacentral:rRNA from 1 species